rnacentral:rRNA from 1 species
GGCCAGACUCCUACGGGAGGCAGCAGUGGGGGAUAUUGCACAAUGGGGGGAACCCUGAUGCAGCGACGCCGCGUGGGUGAAGAAGUAUUUCGGUAUGUAGAGCCCUAUCGGCAGGGAAGAAAUUGGACGGUACCUGACUAAGAAGCCCCGGCUAACUACGUGCCAGCAGCCGCGGUAAUACGUAGGGGGCAAGCGUUAUCCGGAUUCACUGGGUGUAAAGGGAGCGUAGACGGCCAUGCAAGCCUGGAGUGAAAGCCCGGGGCCCAACCCCGGGACUGCUCUGGGAACUGUGCGGCUGGAGUGCGGGAGGGGCAGGCGGAAUUCCUGGUGUAGCGGUGAAAUGCGUAGAUAUCAGGAGGAACACCGGCGGCGAAGGCGGCCUGCUGGACCGCGACUGACGUUGAGGCUCGAAAGCGUGGGGAGCAAACAGGAUUAGAUACCCGAGUAGC